rnacentral:rRNA from 1 species
CUAAACAACUCUCGGCAACGGAUAUCUCGGCUCUUGCAUCGAUGAAGAACGUAGCGAAAUGCGAUACUUGGUGUGAAUUGCAGAAUCCCGUGAACCAUCGAGUCUUUGAACGCAAGUUGCGCCUGAAGCCAUCAGGUUGAAGGCACGUCUGCCUGGGCGUCACGCAU